rnacentral:lncRNA from 1 species
GGCACUAAGAGGAGGAUUUCCUGCUCCUUUUCCAUGCUGUUUCCUAACAGAAAUGAAACAUUCUGUGUCUGGCAGUAUACUGAUAUCUGACUUCUCUACUCUUCUUUGUCAGCACUUCUGAAUUUGAUACUGUGAGCUGAAGGUGAUAUAAUGUAUGGAUCAAGGAUAAAUGAAAGGAAUCCAACAGUAAGAGGAGCUUGGACAGGAUAUAAGCUGGACUCCAUCAGGCCCUGUCUUCAUUGAAGAAUAGGAAACAUGGGUGUGAAGACAGAAAUAAUUGUCUACAGAGGUCAUAAGAUAACGAAGAUCUUGACUGGCUUGCAAGUCUGGUUGGCAACCAAGGGCUAUUUAGAAAGGAAGACUACCUGCCAAACCUACCCAACAACCAGUCAGAUGACUUGAGCCCCAAGUUGUAUGAGAAUGUUCACUGUCGACAGUCC